rnacentral:rRNA from 1 species
UCGAACGGUAACAGGGACUUCGGUCUGCUGACGAGUGGCGAACGGGUGAGUAAUGCAUCGGAACGUACCGAGUAAUGGGGGAUAACGCAUCGAAAGGUGUGCUAAUACCGCAUACGCCCUGAGGGGGAAAGCGGGGGAUCGAAAGAUCUCGCGUUAUUCGAGCGGCCGAUGCCGGAUUAGCUAGUUGGUGGGGUAAAGGCUCACCAAGGCGACGAUCCGUAGCAGGUCUGAGAGGAUGAUCUGCCACACUGGGACUGAGACACGGCCCAGACUCCUACGGGAGGCAGCAGUGGGG